rnacentral:misc_RNA from 1 species
GGAAGUAAAAGUCGUUACAAGGUUUCCGUAGGUGAACCUGCGGAAGGAUCAUUAUUGGAUUUUGAAACUUCAGGCUGCUGCUGGCUCUCCUCGGAGGGCAUGUGCACGCUUGUUGUCCAUUAUUUCUCCCACUGUGCACAAAUUGUAGACCUUUCAGUAGGCCUAUGUUGUUUUUCACAAUCUCUGAAUGUAAUAGAAUGGUUUUGAAUCUUGGGAAAUACAAUGCAACUUUCAGCAACGGAUCUCUUGGCUCUC